CACACAGCUCAGGAUCCAAGAGGAAGGCCUGGGAUUGCCUGCGCCUGGGCAGCUCACCUACAGCUGAGGGCAGGAGGAAGAAGGGCAGUUCCCCAAAGUAAAGAGAAGUGUCCUUAUCAUGGUGGUGGUAACAAGAGCUCACUCACACUGAACAAACAGUAGGGUUCCUUCGGCUAUGUUUGCCAUCAGGGGUAGGCGCUGACAGAGAAUAAGGUCAAAGAAAGGUGAUAUACUGAUGAAGAAAAGUGUGAUAUAAGCAGGCAAUAAAGGGGACUUAGAAUUUAAAAGGAAAUUAAAAUCCCUCCCUUCUCCCCGCUUCUACCUUGUGUCAGUAGGUGCCCGACCUGACUGAAAUCUGCCCAUUCAGCUAGCGUUCUCACUUAGCUUUCGACCACACAGGUAGCCUCUGGGCUGUGCAGACACUAGUCAAGAGCAGCGGUUGUCUUCAUUGUACCAUGUAGGCUAGUUUACACACUGCCAGCUGAUUCCAGGGUUUUCUAGCCUUGAAAUGCACCAGCGUGGAUUGAAUUAGUCAUGCAAUUUGUAAAGGUCUGAAACAUUCUUUCACAGUGAAAACUACCCGCAAGAUAAACUUUCAUGAACAUCUUCUGCCCUCUUGCUUGAUCUGUCAGUACUCUGACGAGCUGGGAGAGAGCUUGGCCUGGGGGGAGUUUUUAAUCCCUCACUGCCUAGUUUGUUUAUAUGGCCCUCUUUAGGUCAGGCGAGCAUCUCUCACUGGAAGGCGGGACCUUCAGGCAUGCUUCUCCCAUCACGUAACCUUGGAGAAACACUGCAGCCUCUGUUUUCUCGUCUGUAAAAUAAGUAUACUACCUUUCCUGCUGGCCUCCCUGGGUCACUGUGAGGCUUGGGUGAAGCUCUGUGGGUAGAGGCGCUUUGAAUACUUUGGAGCACUAUGCAAGCGGAAGAUGCCGUUUUUCUUUACAUUGCUCUGUUCACAUACGAGACAGUUUGUUAGCAUCUGUGGCACUGGCUUCUGUUUUGUCCCCCAGUUCGGUGAGUCAGGAACUGUUGGUCAUACCAUGUCCUGGAAAGACAGCCACCAUCUAACAGAGCAUGUGCCCUCUGUGCCUCAUUUGUCUCAUCUUGGAAAUGAGUUGGCUAGUCCCUGUUCUCCCUUCUUGUCCCCCGGUGGUUGUGAGGCUCAGAUAUAAUGCCGGCCCUGACGAACCUUUUAUAAGCUGGCAAAGCCCUUACGGAAAUGUAAGGUAUCAUUAUUACUGCGUGCUGAACAUCGUUUUCCUAGUUUGUUCUUGAUAAAAACAUAUAAUUAACUUCGUUGCAUGAAGAGACUUUGAUUCACUAGAAAUCACACUGUUCUCUAGAUUUGAAACUACCAACAUGAAAUUGACAAGCAUAUGCUGUCAAAUAUGUAUUACAGAACACAACUCUUUUUAUGGAGCUAAGACUUGGCAAAUAUUUCACAUUAGAAUUUGUUUUCUAUAGAUUGCACUAAGAAUAUUCAUUCCAUGUAAUGGUAAUAGGGUAAAAUUCCAUGAAAUGAUAGUACCUGGAAUCUUAAACUUUUUUGAACUGGUUGAUUCAUUUGAAAUCCACCUGGACACCUACUCUUACUUCCUAGUUGUCAGUUAGUAUUUCACUUAUACUCAAUAUAAAGGUAACCAACUGGUCUAAUAAAAAUUCAUUCAUCUAAAAAAGAAAAUGUCCGUAUAGGCCUGCUAAGUGCUCAUUUUCUCCCGAAGAGCCUGCGUUUUACGAUUGUUUAAUGACUCUGUUUCUUUUAGUCCUACAGGAUCACAUGUUGAGUGGUGUAAACAGCUUAUAGCUGCUACAAUUUCUAGUCAGAUUUCAGGUUCAGUGACAUCAGAAAAUGUAUCCAGAGAUUACAAGGUUUUCAGGAGGCCUGAUAUAAGGGCUCUAAGGGAUGGGAAUAAGCUGGCACAGAUGGAAGAAGCUCCGCUUUUUCCAGGAGAAUCAAUCAAGGCCAUUG